AUUGAACGCUGGCGGCAGGCCUAACACAUGCAAGUCGAGCGGUAACAGGGAUCAGCUUGCUGAUUCGCUGACGAGUGGCGGACGGGUGAGUAAUGUCUGGGAAACUGCCUGAUGGAGGGGGAUAACUACUGGAAACGGUAGCUAAUACCGCAUAACGUCGCAAGACCAAAGAGGGGGACCUUCGGGCCUCUUGCCAUCGGAUGUGCCCAGAUGGGAUUAGCUAGUAGGUGGGGUAACGGCUCACCUAGGCGACGAUCCCUAGCUGGUCUGAGAGGAUGACCAGCCACACUGGAACUGAGACACGGUCCAGACUCCUACGGGAGGCAGCAGUGGGGAAUAUUGCACAAUGGGCGCAAGCCUGAUGCAGCCAUGCCGCGUGUAUGAAGAAGGCCUUCGGGUUGUAAAGUACUUUCAGCGGGGAGGAAGGGAGUAAAGUUAAUACCUUUGCUCAUUGACGUUACCCGCAGAAGAAGCACCGGCUAACUCCGUG
rnacentral:rRNA from 1 species